AGGAUGAACGCUGGCGGCGUGCCUAACACAUGCAAGUCGAACGAGAAAGUGGAGCAAUCCAUGAGUAAAGUGGCGCACGGGUGAGUAACACGUGACUAACCUACCUUUUAGUGGGGGAUAACCUAGGGAAACCUGGGCUAAUACCGCAUAAUACUUACGAGUCAAAGCAGCAAUGCGCUGAAAGAGGGGGUCGCGGUCGAUUAGUUAGUUGGCAGGGUAAUGGCCUACCAAGACUGUGAUCGAUAUCCGGCCUGAGAGGGCGCACGGACACACUGGAACUGAAACACGGUCCAGACUCCUACGGGAGGCAGCAGUGGGAAUUUUGCGCAAUGGGGGAAACCCUGACGCAGCAACGCCGCGUGGAGGAUGAAGUCCCUUGGGACGUAAACUCCUUUCGAUCGGGACGAUAAUGACGGUACCGGAAGAAGAGCCCGGCUAACUUCGUGCCAGCAGCCGC
rnacentral:rRNA from 1 species